UAAGCUAUGAAUGAGUUUGCAACUCAGGCAUUUUGGUCCUUUCCCCCAAAGUUGUUAUUUUCUAUUUAUUUAUUUCUUAAAUGCCAAAUAGUAAGGUCUACAUCCAAUUGUGAUAUUGAAGAACCUCUUCUCUAUUUAGAGACCAUGUGUCCUAAAAAGAACACUCUGCAUGUUACUAAUUUGGAAAAAAAUGGCUACAGAAGAAAAUUCUAUGCUAAAUUCCUUGAAAAUAAAUUAUAUUUUCUUUUCAACUGACACCAAAGAAUUUCAGCUUUAAUUGAAUCACUUGUAAUCAAAGCAGUGGUCAAAGAAGUACAGGAGUAUAUUAAAAUGUGUAAGCAUCUGGUAAAUGAACUUAACUGUUGCAUUUCAUCGUUUAUUUGCAUUCUAGAGAUAUCUAAUUGUGUCUAAAUAAAUACUUUAUAAUCUUGUCUUUCAAAACCAUCUGAACAUACAUUUCCAAAUAUUUGUCUCCUCCUUUGUAUAGCAAUUACACUGGCCACCAAUAGCUCAGGCACAGGUAAGCAAUAAUCAUCAACCACAACUUAAGAGGGACUUAAAAUCCAAAACUUCCUUUUGCAGUAUUAUUUAUACCUUUGCAAUUACAUUUUUUGGGGGGGAUUUUUUUUCCUGUUUUUGUUUUGUUUUUAAGAUUUUAGAAAAAAAUGUUGUACAAACUGAUAAAGAGUCUUGACUUCUUACUUGUGGUCUAUAAAGUUUAAACUUUAACUUUAUGUUUUGAUAUCUAUUUAACUAUUUAAUCAGAUAUCUCUGAAACAUUAAUUUCAAGUUGAUCCAUUUUAUAUAUGACCAUAGAUGUUAUCAGAAACAUAAUUUUCCUUCCAUAUAAAACAUUUUUUCCCAUUAUUUUCUCCAAUUCAGUAGCUUCCAUUCCAGGGAUUACAUCAAGCAGUGAAAUAACAGGAACAACUCUGAGUUUCCUCAGUGAAACUUUUACCACAGGUGUUACAAGAACUCCAGCUCCCAUCACCUCCACAGCUGGAAGUGUGGGCACCACAGGACUAGUGGGCUCCACCUUCACCAGUUCUGGGCACAUAUCAGGGUCAACUGGAGUGUCAGUAAGUACAAUCACAGAAACUGAAGAUGGAAGCACAGGUGACGCAGGCUUCAGAGUAGGAGGAACAGAAGAUCCUACUGCACCAGUAAGAGGUGAGGAAGAUGGCACACCUGGGCAACCAAGCACAGGAGUGACAAGCUCAGGAGAAGCAGGGACCCCAAGAACUUCAGAAAGCUUCACAACCACCCCUGGGAGCAAGAGCACAAAUGCAGACUCAGCUGUCCCAGACACAACCCCUGGAGGCCAACCAGGUACGGAAAUGGGCAACAUUGACAGUCAUCUGAGGCAUCUUCUUACUGACCUUAAGGAAGUCACCAGCACUUCUGAGUUAUUCC
rnacentral:lncRNA from 1 species